CUGAAAAAUUCUCUAAUCCAGCUAUUUUGAAUUUUACAUUUCUAUUUAGUGAAUAACACCGAAAGUGUUAACUGUGUUUGGAACAAACAUGCUUUACUCUUUCAGAGUACAUGUUUUGAAAGGAAAGGCCAGAGGAUCCACUCAGUGGAGGGAAAGUGUAUUACAGCAGGCAAUAAGAGCGAUAAAAUCAGAAACAUUAACAUUUAAAAUGUGUUGAAACUUUUCAGAAUAUUGAAGUUGCAUCUUAUAAUCUUGAUUAAGUGCUACUUCACUGAUGUUACAAAUAAAACAGUAAUGUCUUAUCUUAAUAAUUAGAUUUUAAUAAUAACGUAAAAUCCAUAGAUCCAAGUUUUAACAAUUAUGUCUGGGAUUUGACACCAUUGCACAGCUAUGGAUAGCAUAGUAUUGUUGUAUUGGAGUCAGUGGAGCAUUAUAUCUGGAAUGGAAAGUAUUAGGGGUUUUUAUCCAC